rnacentral:piRNA from 1 species
AAGAAGGAAGGCUUAACCCCCAC